GGUACUUUAGCUCAGUGGUUAAGAGCACACUCAAAUAAAGAGUAUUAAAGAGGUCGCGGGUUCGAAUCCCGCAAGUGCCA